rnacentral:rRNA from 1 species
GAUGAACGCUGGCGGCGUGCCUAAUACAUGCAAGUCGAGCGAACAGACGAGGAGCUUGCUCCUCUGACGUUAGCGGCGGACGGGAGAGUAACACGUGGAUAACCUACCUAUAAGACUGGGAUAACUUCGGGAAACCGGAGCUAAUACCGGAUAAUAUAUUGAACCGCAUGGUUCAAUAGUGAAAGACGGUUUUGCUGUCACUUAUAGAUGGAUCCGCGCCGCAUUAGCUAGUUGGUAAGGUAACGGCUUACCAAGGCAACGAUGCGUAGCCGACCUGAGAGGGUGAUCGGCCACACUGGAACUGAGACACGGUCCAGACUCCUACGGGAGGCAGCAGUAGGGAAUCUUCCGCAAUGGGCGAAAGCCUGACGGAGCAACGCCGCGUGAAUGAUGAAGGUCUUCGGAUCGUAAAACUCUGAUAUUAGGGAAGAACAAAUGUGUAAGUAACUAUGCACGUCUUGACGGUACCUAAUCAGAAAGCCACGGCUAACUACGUG